GAGUUCGGAAUGGAUAAGCAUAUGUGGCACCGACGACUUCACCCCACCCCGCAGGAGGCGAAAGCAAGACGAAAGCCAUGGCGACGGCGGAUGCGGGGGCGACGGCUUGGAGUUUCUAUCAGAUCUUGUUGACAGCUACCUUCCAUAUCUCCCACUCAUGCAGCGUACUGCUGCCCGCCUCUGAUUUCGCCGCCUGAACUUAGUACUCUGCUCCCUUCUUUCGCAUAGGUUCCCCUGCCGGAUCUUCGCGGCGGCGAGUCCGUACUGGACGCUGAAACCACGCAAAGUCUGGUGUGCACCACCGCUCACUCCAGCAUUGGUGAUGUAGGCGACAUGGCCCUGACAGUGCAUUUAGAUUUGAACAGCAGUUGCGAAGGGCUGAUUAUGUCAUCCCCCAACUCAGAGCAGUCAGCUGGCAAAGACGAUCCACCGGCCCUGGGCUGGACGAAAAGGGGGUGCCGAAAAAAAGAAGAAACACACGGUCCUGCCGUUGUAGGUGCCCAGCCAUGAUACAAUUUGCUCCGGUCGACAAAGGAUGGUACAUAAGUGAGCAUAGAACAUUCCACAAUCACUCGCUUCCAGAUAAAUGUGGCGAGAACUGUGGAGUCGGUGGUCACAGGAAGAACACCUGCAAUUAUCUUAAGGUUGUUCUGCAUGUUGUUGAAAAUGCAACUUCAGAAUGACAUGCGAUUUACAACUGACUUGGUUACGCUUAGAAAUUUGUAGUAUGUUGUUGAGGGUUCCGUAGCCAUUAUGUAGAAGACUAAUAUAUCUAAAUAAUAAACUGUCGUCGAUCAAUCUGAACUGUUGUAAUUAGUUUGUGUGUCUUAGUUUCCAUGUGUCUGAUGAACAUUUGUGAUGUGUGCAUGAUCGCCUACAUUUUGAAUGCAUUUCCUUUCAAUUAAAAAAAAAGAGAAUUGUUUACUUCCUUGUCAUGAAAAAACAAAUCAGUUGGUUUUAUUUGUGCGCCUUACUUAUCCAUCUGUUUCUUCCACACAUCUGGGCAGUGGCAGAGCACUUGUCGCCCGAGUCAGAUCACGUCGUAGUCUCGUUCUAUCUCUUCUACCUCCCACUUAUAAUCAGACAGGCUGUUAACUAGUGAAGAUAUCUACCCCUCCUCCCACCGGCAGCUCGGUCGUCCCUGCCUCCUCUGGAUGCAGCUCCAAUGCACCUUGCGAUGGGCGGUGGUCAUGGCCACCAUCUUCAGAACGUAAGUUGUGACGAGCAUGGUGAUGUUGUCGCUGCCCACGCAGUUGCUGUUUGCAGCAUGUCCUCCUGGUGGUCCAGGAUUCUGUGGACGACAGAGAUGACUGUAUAUCAUCGGAAGACAAAGCUCACGACAGAGAAACUGAAGUUCAGUCCCGUUAUUCAGCGCGGGUGGGGAAAGCGGGGUUAAAUGCAGUUGGUGGUCCGGGCCCCCUCCCGUCUUCUACCCGCUCCACCCGUUACCAUGCCGUUUGCACCUAUCACAAACGUUGAUACAGUACCAAACCGCCGUCAAACAAUGUCCUCAAUGUCCGUCUGCAUGCCGUGCAAACGUCGCCGCAUCCGUCUAGCAUACGCAUUUAAUUUUCGACCGUACACACCCUGUACUACCGCAUCCAGCACAUCUCUCGUAACCGCUGGACGCCUGGUGAUACCGUGACCAGGCGAGCCCGUCCGCGCCAUGGAAUUUCCGAUCUAAACGCUCUUAUAUUAGUUUAGAGAGGGAGUAGCAGUUUAUAAUAUAUCAUCUUCGUUCACGUUUACCGGUUAGAGCGCCAAUGUUUUGGCUUCAGCCACGAGGCGUAUGGAUGUCGAAAAACAUUUUUUACUGAAAACAGCUCGGCCCAAGAGCAAGGGAUGUUCAAAAUGAUUUUAUACACAAAAGUAAAUCCGGAUAGCAACCCAUCAGUAGUUCAUUUUCCUUCAGUGGUACCAACCGGAGGGCGAAAAUUAGUGCAAAAUACCACUCGUAUUAAUUAAACAAACAGCUUGUUUCCAAAUCAUUUAAACAAAAAUUGUAGAAACCGACCCAAAAAUUAAAAUUAACGCGCCAGGUAGGGGUCGAACCUACGGCCUUCCGCUUAGGAAACGGACGCUCUAUCCACUGAGCUACAGGCGCCUUGUGAUGAGAGAUGCAAUGGAACCAUU